GAUUGCGAGUUCAAAGCCAGUCUCAGCAAAGAGGAGAGACUCUUAUGCUGAUAGACCUAAAAUCAAUUAUGAUGAAGAUUUCUGGAGAAGCUAAGUUACGAUGUUCUGUGGAGAAGGGGGUGCCACUACAAAGAGUGUCCAGACCUUCUGCUCCAGAAAGGAUUUUUAUUUGACAAAUCACCAAGAAUCUCCUUAUGAAAAUGCAAGAUUUCUCCAAGGUCUGUGGAAUACUGGCAGAAUGGUAGAGAGACUUGCUUCAAACCUGACUGUGCUGCUUAGCAACAAUUUCA